CCUACGGGUGGCUGCAGUGGGGAAUAUUGGACAAUGGGCGAAAGCCUGAUCCAGCCAUGCCGCGUGUGUGAAGAAGGCCUUCGGGUUGUAAAGCACUUUCAGUGGGGAAGAAAGCCUUGGGGCUAAUACCCUCGAGGAAGGACAUCACCCACAGAAGAAGCACCGGCUAACUCCGUGCCAGCAGCCGCGGUAAUACGGAGGGUGCGAGCGUUAAUCGGAAUUACUGGGCGUAAAGCGCGCGUAGGCGGUCUGAUAAGCCGGUUGUGAAAGCCCCGGGCUCAACCUGGGAACGGCAUCCGGAACUGUCAGGCUAGAGUGAAGGAGAGGAAGGUAGAAUUCCCGGUGUAGCAGUGAAAUGCGUAGAGAUCGGGAGGAAUACCAGUGGCGAAGGCGGCCUUCUGGACUGACACUGACGCUGAGGUGCGAAAGCGUGGGUAGCGAACAGGAUUAGAUACCCCAGUAGUC
rnacentral:rRNA from 1 species